ACGGAAGGCAGCAGUCGGGAAUAUUGCGCAAUGGAGGAAACUCUGACGCAGUGACGCCGCGUGCAGGAAGAAGGUUUUCGGAUUGUAAACUGCUUUAGACAGGGAAGAUACAAGACAGUACCUGUAGAAUAAGCUCCGGCUAACUACGUGCCAGCAGCCGCGGUAAUACGUAGGGAGCAAGCGUUAUCCGGAUUUAUUGGGUGUAAAGGGUGCGUAGACGGAGAAGCAAGUUGGUUGUGAAAUCCCUCGGCUUAACUGAGGAACUGCAACCAAAACUACUUCCCUUGAGUGUCGGAGAGGAAAGUGGAAUUCCUAGUGUAGCGGUGAAAUGCGUAGAUAUUAGGAGGAACACCAGUGGCGAAGGCGACUUUCUGGACAAUAACUGACGUUGAGGCACGAAAGUGUGGGGAGCAAACAGGAUUAGAUACCCUGGUA
rnacentral:rRNA from 1 species